UACGUAGGGUGCGAGCGUUAAUCGGAAUUACUGGGCGUAAAGCGUGCGCAGGCGGUAAGUUAAGUCUGAUGUGAAAGCCCCGGGCUCAACCUGGGAAUGGCAUUGGAAACUGGCUUGCUAGAGUGUGGCAGAGGGGGGUGGAAUUCCGCGUGUAGCAGUGAAAUGCGUAGAGAUGCGGAGGAACACCGAUUGCGAAGGCAGCCCCCUGGGCCGACACUGACGCUCAGGCACGAAAGCGUGGGGAGCAAACAGG
rnacentral:rRNA from 1 species